GACGAACGCUGGCGGCGUGCCUAAUACAUGCAAGUAGAACGCACAGGAUGCACCGUAGUUUACUACACCGUAUUCUGUGAGUUGCGAACGGGUGAGUAACGCGUAGGUAACCUGCCUGGUAGCGGGGGAUAACUAUUGGAAACGAUAGCUAAUACCGCAUAAGAACAUUUACUGCAUGGUAGAUGUUUAAAAGGUGCAAAUGCAUCACUACCAGAUGGACCUGCGUUGUAUUAGCUAGUAGGUGAGGUAACGGCUCACCUAGGCGACGAUACAUAGCCGACCUGAGAGGGUGAUCGGCCACACUGGGACUGAGACACGGCCCAGACUCCUACGGGAGGCAGCAGUAGGGAAUCUUCGGCAAUGGGGGGAACCCUGACCGAGCAACGCCGCGUGAGUGAAGAAAGGUUUUCGGGAUCGUAAAGCUCUG
rnacentral:rRNA from 1 species